UACGAACUGUGCGAACGUUAUUCGGAAUCACUGGGCUUACAGGGUGCGUAGGCGGCUCAACAAGUCAGGUGUGAAAGCCCCCGGCUCAACCGGGGAACUGCGCUUGAAACUGUUAGGCUCGAGUCAGCUAGAGGUACACGGAACUUCCAGUGGAGCGGUGAAAUGUGUUGAUAUUGGAAGGAACACCGGAGGCGAAAGCGGUGUACUGGGGCUGGGUCUGACGCUGAGGACGAAAGCCAGGGAGCGAACGGGG
rnacentral:rRNA from 1 species